GUACUUGCUUCAGCAGGGCAUAGAAUAAAAUUGGAGUGAUACAGAGAAAGUCACUAUGGGCCCUGUGCAAGGAUGACAUGAAAAUUUGUGAAAGAUUCCAUAUUUUU